GAUGAACGCUAGCGGCAGGCUUAACACAUGCAAGUCGAGGGGUAUAGUUCUUCGGAAUUAGAGACCGGCGCACGGGUGCGUAACGCGUAUGCAAUCUACCUUUACAGAGGGAUAGCCCAGAGAAAUUUGGAUUAAUACCUCAUAGUAUAGCAGUUUCGCAUGAAACCACUAUUAAAGUCACAACGGUAAAGAUGAGCAUGCGUCCCAUUAGCUAGUUGGUAAGUAACGGCUUACCAAGGCUACGAUGGGUAGGGGUCCUGAGAGGGAGAUCCCCCACACUGGUACUGAGACACGGACCAGACUCCUACGGGAGGCAGCAGUGAGGAAUAUUGGACAAUGGGCGCAAGCCUGAUCCAGCCAUGCCGCGUGCAGGAUGACGGUCCUA
rnacentral:rRNA from 1 species